CAUGGCCUUCAGUUGCUGGCCUGUUAAAUUUCAAAUUUCUUUUGACAUUUUUACUGCUUGAAGUGGUAAUGUUUCUUCACUUAUCUGACUUGACACCGUGAUUUUCACCUAAUUGUCCUAAGGAGUCUGGUUGUCUGCAUUUUACUAGGUCACCUGCUAAACUUUCUUAUCACUGUAAGCAUAUCUCAGUACCACAUUCCCUCCUUCUAAACAAUGUAACUCUGCAAAAACAACAUUUCUAUUCCCACAAUUCCCCCCUUUUCUUUUUUUUAUCAACUGUUGAUUUUUGCAAAACCUUUCUCUAAGGUGUAAUAUGGUAGAUUUCUUCUUCUUUGCUUUCUUUGCUUUCCAUCUCCUCAUUAUCACCUUAUCUGAGUAAGGUGGUGGCUCCAUGGUCAUUUGUUUCAAUAGUGCGGUUUCAGUUAACCACUGUACUAGUCCUCUUACACAUGGGAUAAUGCAGCAACCAAUGGCUGUCAAAACUCCUACAACUACGAUCAAGGAUGUAAAUAUGGACAUUACCAUCCCUUUCCAUUUACCAAACCAAGAUUCCAACCAUCCUGUGAUGGAAGUGUCUGCUCCUGAAUUUUCUGCCAAUUCAUUGGCAAGGGUGGUAAGCCCUUGCAAUGCUCUUGUUACUGUGCCAUCCGGGGCAGUAUUGUUAGGGAUAAAAGCACAGCAGCAAGGAAGAUGAGGCAGCUCUGGCACUAACCUACUGGGAGCUCCAGAUUGAAGCUCUGUUUGACUAAGGACUACUGGUGUCACCUUGAGUUGACUGAGCUUCUCCGUGCAGCACUGGCUCACUCCUGGGGACGUCAGCAGCACUGUCCCUCACAGCACUAACCAGAUAAAUACACUGGACACUGAAGAAAUUAAAUGCUGCGUUAACAGGGCACUGUAACUGUGCAAGGACGGAUGGUGGAACAAGUCAGGAGGUGGUGGUUCAUGAGGCAGCUUCUCAUCAUGAAGGCCAGGAUUCAAGAAAGAGCUGGAGCCACAAAUCCCAGCAUUUCUCAGCACUUACCCCUUUUAACUUUUUUGUUAUGCACACACUGAGCCAUCUCCAGACAGGCUCCUCAGCAACAUGCAACGGCUUGCAGAAGUGAUGAGUUUGUCCCAAAGGUUUAGGGAGGCACAAGAAAAAAGUUAGUUCAUCACAUGCUGCAUUUCUGCCCCUAACAAAAAAACCCAAACCAAAAAAAAAAAAAAAAAAAAAAAGUAUUCAGCAGCACUGGACUUGCAGCAUCACAACAGGUGUCACAGCAGGUGACCCUUGCCCCUUAACCUACAGACACCAGGCUCCCCCAGGGCUUCUGUGGGCCCUCAUUACCCAAAGCCCAAUAAUAGUUAUUUCCAAAUGAAGAGCUUGCCAGGUACUGUCCUCCAAUCUUGAACAUUUCUUGCAAAAGGAAACAAUUUUCUUUCAAAGGUCUUGUCUGAAGCACAGACAAUUUUGCCUGCUUUUGGCUUUCUGAAAUUCAGAUAACAAAGUCAGGGCACCAGGCUCACAAAUCCUGCUUUUACCUUUUCAAAACAUACUAAUAAAGUUGUCUUGCUAAAGGUGGCUUUGGGCA
rnacentral:lncRNA from 1 species